rnacentral:siRNA from 1 species
CAUUUUCUUGUAUGAUGAUGUGUC